rnacentral:rRNA from 1 species
AUUGAACGCUGGCGGCAUGCCUUACACAUGCAAGUCGAACGCUCGUAGCAAUACGGGAGUGGCAGACGGGUGCGUAACGCGUGGGAACAUACCCUUUGGUUCGGAAUAACUCAGGGAAACUUGAGCUAAUACCGGAUACGCCCGAGAGGGGAAAGAUUUAUUGCCGAAGGAUUGGCCCGCGUCUGAUUAGCUGGUUGGUAGGGUAACGGCCUACCAAGGCGACGAUCAGUAGCUGGUCUGAGAGGAUGAUCAGCCGCACUGGGACUGAGACACGGCCCAGACUCCUACGGGAGGCAGCAGUGGGGAAUAUUGGACAAUGGGCGCAAGCCUGAUCCAGCCAUGCCGCGUGAGUGAUGACGGCCUUAGGGUUGUAAAGCUCUUUUACCCGGGAAGAUAAUGACGGUACCGGGAGAAUAAGCUCCGGCUAACUCCGUG